UACGGAGGAUCCGAGCGUUAUCCGGAAUCAUUGGGUUUAAAGGGUCCGUAGGCGGAUAGUUAAGUCAGCGGUGAAAGUCUGCAGCUCAACUGUAGAAUUGCCGUUGAUACUGGUUAUCUUGAAUCAAAUUGAAGUGGCUGGAAUAUGUGGUGUAGCGGUGAAAUGCAUAGAAAUCACAUGGAACACCUAUUGCGAAGGCAAGUAACUAAAUUUGCAUUGACGCUGAUGGACGAAAGCGUGGGGAGCAAACAGGAUUA
rnacentral:rRNA from 1 species